UUGGUUUGUUAUCGGUGGUCGGCUGUGCACAACUUCCACCUUACAUGCCUAUUCAUUUGUUCGUUAAGGCUUUGAUUGCCUGAUCAAAAUUUUGGUUUCCUGUGUUGCUUGCCUAACAAAAGGUAUUUGUUUGGCUUAUUUAAGUUUUGUUCGUCUUUCGUGUUGCUUUUGACGUUAGAUGAGCCCUAACCUUGUCUCUCUGAACCACAUCAUUAAUGAUUGUGUUGACAUAGUGGCGCAUUGAGCCUUGCUUGGUCUCUUUGAUGUAGUGCUUGAUGUUGGCAUGGCUUCGUUGGGUUACUUGUUAUGUCCCUGAUUAGUGUUUACGUCUCACAAAAGGACUGCUUGACACGUGUUGGCGUGUAAAAGCGUGUUGGGCUUUGUCUAAAAGGAAUGUUACCUGGU
rnacentral:misc_RNA from 1 species